rnacentral:rRNA from 1 species
UACGAAGGGUGCAAACGUUGCUCGGAAUUAUUGGGCGUAAAGAGCUCGUAGGCGGCUUGUCGCGUCGGAUGUGAAAGCCCGGGGCUUAACUCCGGGUCUGCAUUCGAUACGGGCAGGCUAGAGUUCGGUAGGGGAGAUCGGAAUUCCUGGUGUAGCGAUGAAAUGCGCAGAUAUCAGGAGGAACACCGGUGGCGAAGGCGGAUCUCUGGGCCGAUACUGACGCUGAGGAGCGAAAGCGUGGGGAGCGAACAGG